CCAGAACCUUCAGCAGGGUGUUGGGGGGUCCACUGACCCACUGCCUGCGACCUGCUACAUAUUCCACUGAGGACCGAGGAGAACAUGCUCCUGUUGCUCCUUCCUCAUCUAGCUGGAUUUCAAAUGUGAUUCCUUUCUGCAGAAAAGACUCAAAAUAAUGGACAUGGACAUGGCAGAGGACAGAUCUCUCCUCUGAUCUCUGUUCUGCCUCAGAGCUGCUUCAACGUCCUGCAGGAAAAAGACAACACAAAGUUUAAAAUAUGAAACUGGC